CUAACACAUGCAGUCGAGCGAGAAGUUGGAAGUGAAGAUUCGAUUGGAACGGAAAAUGGAAAGCGGCAGACGGGUGAGUAACGCGUGAAUAAUCAACCCUGCACAAAGGGAUAGCCUCGGGAAACCGGGAUUAAUACCAUAUGAAGUAUAUUAAUCGAAUGAUAGAUAUAUUAAAGUUUUUAACGGUGCAGGACGAGUUCGCGUCCCAUUAGCUAGUUGGUGAGAUAACAGCUUACCAAGGCGACGAUGGGUAGCCGGUCUGAGAGGGUGAACGGCCACACUGGAACUGAGACACGGUCCAGACUCCUACGGGAGGCAGCAGUGGGGAAUAUUGCACAAUGGAGGAAACUCUGAUGCAGCGACGCCGCGUGAGCGAAGAAGGCUUUCGAGUCGUAAAGCUCUGUCCUAAGAGAAGAAGAAGUGACGGUAUCUUAGGAGGAAGCCCCGGCUAACUACGUGCCAGCAGCCGCGGUAAUACGUAGGGGGCUAGCGUUGUCCGGAAUUACUGGGCGUAAAGGGUGAGUAGGUGGUCAUUAAAGUCAGAUGUAAAAGGCAAUGGCUCAACCAUUGUAAGCAUAUGAAACUUAAUGACUUGAGUGCAGGAGAGGUAAAUGGAAUUCCUAGUGUAGCGGUGAAAUGCGUAGAUAUUAGGAAGAACACCAGUGGCGAAGGCGAUUUACUGGACUGUAACUGACACUGAGUCACGAAAGCGUGGGGAGCAACCAGGAUUAGAUACCCUGGUAGUCCACGCUGUAAACGAUGAGUGCUAGGUGUCGGCCAGAGAUUGUCGGUGCCGAAGUUAACGCAUUAAGCA
rnacentral:rRNA from 1 species